rnacentral:sRNA from 1 species
AACUUGAGCCUCGGGACCACAGAGCCUAUCGGACCCAGAAACUCAACCAGCACAUUUCCAAGGCAUCCUUUGGAAAAUGAGGGAGGCAGAUAUGAAAAACUAAUGCUAUGAUGAUUGGAGACUUCUCACUGUGAACUGUUGAACUCAGAAGACCUUAGACCCCAACCACAAAGUGCUGAGGGAAAAAGGAAAACAACUGCCAGGGAAGAAUCAGCAAAGCCCUCCUGCAAAGACAAAGGUAACCUGGAGACGACUGCAAGUACGUGUGAAUUAAGAUCAUUUCUCUGAAGAUCCACCCUGUAAGAAACGUUAACAUGCGUUCUAUCAGUUUGAGGUGAUGUUACACUGGACCCAACCUGAACUGACAGCAAGGAUAGGAAGCAAACUUCCUGGUUCUCAUCAUGCUUGUUGGUCCUGUCUCCAGGACUUUGGAGCUGAAGAGGUUCAACACUACCCACCCCGGGUGACUCAACGACUCCCUCCAAUGUCCUGCUUCUGGGGAGAGUGAGGUGCACAGUGAUACCCAUCACUGUUUCCUAGACAGGGCUGUGCUGCACAUGGACCCUGUAUUGUGGACGUGAUUUUUAAAGGUUGGAUGAGAACAGAUGUUAAAUGCAGGGAUAGAAGUGCAGUCGGUCUGGCAUUUUAUUGUGCAAGAAUGAAUAUUUUGAGUUUUUUCUAGUAUAUUAUAAAGUUAAAAAUGUUAAAAAGUUCUUCAGAGAAAUUACAUUGGUAUCAGUUUCAGAAUGUCCUUUUUUUUUUCUCUGUGGAUUUGAAUAAAGAAAAGGAGUACGCUGACCCACACUAAUAACAGACCUUCAGCAUCACGAACUAACUUUAGGACUAGUUAAGUAUCUCGAUUCUGUUUUCAAUAUUCUCUUUGCUGCAUGCACACCAUGACCUUCUGACAUUUAAAAAAAUGUGUGUAGGAUCCCCGGAACGGAAGUUACAGACAAUUGUGAGCUGCUUCACGGAUGCUGGGAAUUGAACCCAGGUUCUCUAGAAGAGCAGCUGGUCUUAAAGAUUGAGCAAUCAUCUUCAAUCCCCUCUUGACAUUUUUAUUUCUUUCUGAAAGACAUUUACAAAUAAAUCUUGGGGUUGGAGGUGAAGCUCAGUGAUAACAUGCUUACAAAGCAUGCACAAGGCUCUCUGUGCAACUUGCAUUGCAGAUGUGAGGCAAAUACACUCAACACCCCAUUUUUAUCUCAAAAUCCAUUGUAUGUACUCGGAAGAGAGGUGACUUCCUUAGAGAGUGUUUGCAUGGUUAUCGAUGUCAGCAACAUCAAUACAGCUAUUUUGUAUUGUCCUAUACUCAGUCCACUUUUAUGUCCCAUAUUGUUUUACCCAGCUGCCCUUUCCUGCAACAAGAUUCAGCUUACAUCACUACUCUACAAUACACUCUAAAGCCCCCUUUUAUCCGUGGCCUUACUCUUACUUGACAUCACUCUCCCUAGUUUCCUUUUUACCUUUACUAUCUGCAUUGCAACUUUUGAAUCUGAACUAAUGAAAUCAGACAGAUCCUGUUUUCUAUUCAUUUAUUCAUUCCCUCAGUUUUAGAGGGCUCUUAAACCACGUUUGUAUACUGGGCAUGCAUGUGAAGCUAAAAUAUAGUAAUAGUGCCUUCUAUGUACUGUAUCCAAGAUUAUUUUGGAGGAAACCCAUUCUUUUUCUGAUAAAAAUGACAGUUGUAUGAUUGCCAUUAAAAUGCAUCUGUGGUGGGUGGAUGUAACACCCCCUCCCCCCCCCACACACACUAUGAAGUAACAAGGAGACUUAGGAAGGAAAGGAUUUUGUAAGAUAAGGAAGAGGAUAAAAAUAAAUAGGGGGGCUGGAAAGAUGGCUCAGAGCAUUGACUGUUCUUCUAGAUGAUCUGGCUUCAAUUCCCAGCACCCACAUGGCAGCUCACAAUUAUCUGUAACUCCAGAUCCAGGAGGUCUAACACCAAAAUCCUCAUUCAGACAUACAUGCGCGGAAAACACUAAUGCACUUAAAAUAAAAAUAAAAAAUCA